rnacentral:rRNA from 1 species
GACGAACGCUGGCGGCGUGCUUAACACAUGCAAGUCGAACGGGAACCUUUAUUUCGGUAAAGGUGAGAGUGGCAAACGGGUGAGUAACACGUAGGCAACCUGCCGACAGGAUGGGGGCAACAUUCCGAAAGGAAUGCUAAUACCGAAUGGAGUCCGGAGAUGGCAUCAUCUCCGGAUAAAAGAUGGCCUCUGAAUAUGCUAUCGCCUGUCGAUGGGCCUGCGUCUGAUUAGCCAGUUGGCGGGGUAACGGCCCACCAAAGCGACGAUCAGUAGCCGGUCUGAGAGGAUGAACGGCCACAUUGGGACUGAGACACGGCCCAGACUCCUACGGGAGGCAGCAGUGGGGAAUCUUCCACAAUGGGCGAAAGCCUGAUGGAGCAACGCCGCGUGAGUGAAGAAGGUCUUCGGAUCGUAAAGCCCUGUUGCACGGGACGAAAACCGGGUUUGAGAAUAUGAAC